CCUACGGGUGGCUGCAGUGGGGAAUUUUGGACAAUGGGCGCAAGCCUGAUCCAGCAAUGCCGCGUGCAGGAAGAAGGCCUUCGGGUUGUAAACUGCUUUUGUACGGAACGAAACGGUCUGGGUUAAUACCCUGGGCUAAUGACGGUACCGUAAGAAUAAGCACCGGCUAACUACGUGCCAGCAGCCGCGGUAAUACGUAGGGUGCAAGCGUUAAUCGGAAUUACUGGGCGUAAAGCGUGCGCAGGCGGUUUUGUAAGACAGGCGUGAAAUCCCCGGGCUCAACCUGGGAAUUGCGCUUGUGACUGCAAAGCUGGAGUGCGGCAGAGGGGGAUGGAAUUCCGCGUGUAGCAGUGAAAUGCGUAGAUAUGCGGAGGAACACCGAUGGCGAAGGCAAUCCCCUGGGCCUGCACUGACGCUCAUGCACGAAAGCGUGGGGAGCAAACAGGAUUAGAUACCCGGGUAGUC
rnacentral:rRNA from 1 species